rnacentral:piRNA from 1 species
UGGUUGUCUCUUAUAUUCAGGUGAG